rnacentral:rRNA from 1 species
AUUGAACGCUGGCGGCAGGCUUAACACAUGCAAGUCGAGCGGAGUGAUGGUGCUUGCACUAUCACUUAGCGGCGGACGGGUGAGUAAUGCUUAGGAAUCUGCCUAUUAGUGGGGGACAACAUCUCGAAAGGGAUGCUAAUACCGCAUACGUCCUACGGGAGAAAGCAGGGGAUCACUUGUGACCUUGCGCUAAUAGAUGAGCCUAAGUCGGAUUAGCUAGUUGGUGGGGUAAAGGCCUACCAAGGCGACGAUCUGUAGCGGGUCUGAGAGGAUGAUCCGCCACACUGGGACUGAGACACGGCCCAGACUCCUACGGGAGGCAGCAGUGGGGAAUAUCGGACAAUGGGGGGAACCCUGAUCCAGCCAUGCCGCGUGUGUGAAGAAGGCCUUAUGGUUGUAAAGCACUUUAAGCGAGGAGGAGGCUCUUUUGGUUAAUACCCAAGAUGAGUGGACGUUACUCGCAGAAUAAGCACCGGCUAACUCUGUGCCAGCCGCCGCCGUAAGAC